rnacentral:rRNA from 1 species
UACGGAGGGUGCAAGCGUUAAUCGGAAUUACUGGGCGUAAAGCGCACGCAGGCGGUUGGAUAAGUUAGAUGUGAAAGCCCCGGGCUCAACCUGGGAAUUGCAUUUAAAACUGUCCAGCUAGAGUCUUGUAGAGGGGGGUAGAAUUCCAGGUGUAGCGGUGAAAUGCGUAGAGAUCUGGAGGAAUACCGGUGGCGAAGGCGGCCCCCUGGACAAAGACUGACGCUCAGGUGCGAAAGCGUGGGGAGCAAACAGGAUUAGAUACCCUAGUAGUCCGGAAUGC